AUUGUAAUAGCAUACUUUGCAGUAUUUGAAAAUGAAGUCUUUUUUACCUUUAGGUUAAUACAAAGACUAUCACAAUUAAUUUAAUUAAUAUUGAUUCAUAUAUUUUAAUAAGAUUAUAACACAGCAUCCAGAUAGUUAUGAGCAGAGAUAUAAUUUCAACCAAAAGAAUCUUAAACUAAUGGACCACCAAUAAGUAUUAAAAAGUACUCGCUUAUUACCAAAACUGUUCAAAAAUUUGUUAUUAAACUUGAAUUCGUAUGUAUAUCCUUUCCUAGUAAAACAACAAAAUGUAAACACCAAACCUUUCACACCAAUCAACAUAACACGGAACACCUUUCAGCCACUCUCCACGCACUCUUCUGAAGAAUAUAACCAGCUUGCCAAAAAACAAGAUCACUAAAAUGACAUCCGUAUCACAAGCAGGCUACCGGCCAAAAAACUUUCCCUCGAACAGGCCAAUCAGCAAAACGAGAUCAACUCACUCUGCAGAGGCGGCGACAUCAUAACCCGAAUGCAAGGAGCCACAAUCAGUUCCUCGGGUUGGCACGCGCUGUUGGAACACCAAGAGAUUCUCCAGGAUACGACAAGGACGCGUCGAAGGGACAGGGACAGCGGAGAAAGCGAGCGUCGUAAGGAAGGAAGGAGGAAAGAUAGUAGGCAGUGAAGAGGAAAAGAAGAGACAAAGAUGCAGCUAGGAAGGAGCAACAGAGAGAGCUAAACCAAGAGGGAGAGGGAAAGAACGUACAAUGUGCAGAAUGGGAAGAGAGCAAGAGAAAGGAGAGGGAGAGGCAAUCUCACUCUCAGUGACACGUAAACUGGACUGCAGAAGCAAACAUAGCCUCGUCGUUGGCGAUGUCCCGCAGGCUCACUGCAAGUGGUUGCAAAUGUUCGUCGUAAUGACGCUGCCGUUUUUCUGGAGUAUAUCCACUUGAUGCCCUCGCCUUGCCCAAGAAACACGGUAAUGGUUCUUGGCUGAUCGUUAACCGACUGGUUCACUUGGAAAUGCGAUGUUAAUUGGUUAUUAAUCGACCAUUAACCAGAUGGCCUCGAUAAAACCGGAACAUUUUGCUUCGUAUAUCAGCAAACUAUUCUAUUGGAUCUUUUAUUGCAUCGAACAUACGCAUACACACGAAUUCAUUAACGUGAGAUGGUGUAAAAUUACUGGUUAAUUAUAAAUUGGUCAUUAAUCGAUAAGAAAUACCGAAAACAGGAUACAGCAGUUCUUUUGUUCCUACGUUUCUCUCGAAUCUAUAUUUAAAUUCAUAUUUUACAUAUUUAUCUAAAUUAUUUACAGACUCUUAUCAGAGGUUAAUUAAUCAUCCAACAACGCAUGAUGGAUUUCAGAUUUACAUAUCAUCAUCGUGAAUCUUGAGUUCAAACUCGUUCGCAUUCGAGUAUCAGACUGCUACCAAAUUAAUUGAUAUUCAAUUAGGUCCCAGGAGUCUUUUCACAGGAAAGUUUUAAACUUCAUGGUAAUUCGUUACCCGAACACAUGCUCCAAAUUCCCAAAUCAAGUGGCCAAAAAGCGCCAUUUUAAUUGACACUUCAUUAACCAAAUUGGUAAAGCAUAAUCAAUUUCAGCAAAUUUUUAAUUUACCAAGAAACGUUAAUCACGAUGCAGCACGUAUCUUAUAUGUCCAAACUAAUUAUUCAAAACGGUGUUCCUAAUUAAAAGUUAAUUAAUCAAUUAGUAGAAAACGAUUCUCUGUAUCAGAAGACAUUGAAUACAUUGAAACGAAUCCUGAUCCAUUUCUGAACGCUACAUUGGGCAAAGAAAUAUGGAAUAGGCAUUCUUACGUAACCCAAGUGGAACGAGUCCUUUUCCGGACUCGAUUCUCGGAUCGUCUCUAAUGAUACGGACUAUCCGCCGCCAAUGAGACAUAAAUCGCUUAAUCAUCGUUACCGUACUCUCCAACAUUCCAUCGUUUCUCGUUUCACUCAGUCGUAAGCAUGGAUUAGCAGAAAUCUCUAGUCUCCUUUCUGCUUAUUUUACCGCGAUACACAUGAAUGAUUUUUCAGGACGAUUCCAGGAGUAUAGGUUUGUGAUAAUAACACUAGCUAUGAAUCAUGCUCGGCUCAAUUAAGUCACAACUUCUCCGUUUAUUUCUCUGACAAAUAUCUGUUUAACAUGCUGUUUGCUGAUACAUGGAGAAAUGUAGAAAAGGAAUUUAAGAUUAUGGAGGAUGUGAAAGAGUAACAUCUAUUCUGUAGGAAAAUUGUCCAAAGAUUAAAGUAAAGCUGUAAUCGUGAGUAUUCGCGACUACUCGGUUAUCCCCACCUUCUGCGUUAUCAUGAGAGGAUUGCAGUGCAAUUCUACGCUCAGCCAAUAAGCAUAUAGUUUUUGUCCCCUCUACUUUACAGCUAAUAUUCUAUAGAAGUGGUAAUAUGCUAGGUGUAUGCCUGACUUAACAUUUAUUCUUACUGGCUAUAAAGCAGGAACUAUAUAAUACGUUUUUUAAAUAAUUUACCUCUUCUUCAAAAGCAAUCUUUGUAUUUUGUUAUUAAUUGAUUUUUUGUUUCUGGUAAAAUGGACUGGGAGGAGAAAUUCUGUUUAUUGGUCAUCAAUUAAGGCAGAUCCGCAACUUAUAGUUGGAGUUCCUUAUUUAUGAUGGCACGCUGUCUGUUUCGUUUUACUUGAGGUUAAAAUAGAUGCAUAAACAUAAAGCUGCAUCUGGAACGAACUGUUAAUACCCAGUAGCAUUUGCUCACGCUGCUUCUCUUUGAUUUCACAUCAUGCAUACGUAAGAAGUCGCAACGAUGUCUGGAUAACGACUGAGUAACACGACUAAUCUUCGGCAGUGGUUUUUAGCAUUUAACAUGAACAACUUGUGCAUUCUAAUGCCUAGAAGAACGAACGAACCGAGACAAAAACCUUUCAUUUGCAAAUGUCCAUAAAUCAAUUUUCUUCAUUAACAAGUAUUCUCAUCAAUCUUUAUUUGAUAUCCUUUCCUCGCUAAAAAUAAUGUUUUACAAAUUACAAAAAAUAUAUUUAGUACGUAAUUAUCUCGUACGAUUCAUAAAAGCUCAUAUAGCCAUUAAAUAUUAUUAUAUAUCUGUCUGUCCAUAAUUACAGAUAUUUCGCUAGUACUAGUGAUUACAGUCGAUCUUAUAUUUGAGAAUUUGAAGUUAGCGCUUUUAACGUCUCCAUAACCUCACUCGCUCAACAUAACCGCAACCAUAGCGUGCAAAUUUCAUUUCCUCCUUACUUUUUACUUUACUGUGGAGGUCGAAUACGAUUCACCGAGAUUCUUUCCUUCACAGAACUUACCAUAAAGGUAUAUACCACUAAUGAUCUUUAUUGUAUCAAAGAUCAGAGAUAUUUUAGCAGAAAUAUCGAUCAGAAAUUACGAACGAUUCGAUACAUGAUAAGUUGCUGCCGAGAUACUGACUCGAUUCUCGUUCGUCGAAGAACCGAUUAAAAGAGUGGAUCGAAAUUGACGGCUUAAUUUAAUUCAGAGGGAAGGCAUACAACGUUGCAACAUCUCUUUUUGGUUCAGCCAGGACAUUCGCUUCCGAGAAUGCCAUGGAGAAAUGUCUUCAUCGAGCUGCUUAGUGGCAACUGCCACAUCACAGUUUUUGCUCUUGUUCCCUUCCAACUUUUUCAUCGUUCAUGGAAUUGACGAACAUUUCUGGUUCAUAGUAUGACUCUAAACGAGACGAAGAUUCGAUUUAAAAUCAUGGGUUUCAAUCAAAGCUGUACUUCGUCUUCCUUCAAUCAUUCCAAGCAUUUCCUUCAUUUGAAAAGGAUGAAGGUUUCCUCAAUCAAUUUUUUGUCGUUAUGAAUUACCCUUUUU